rnacentral:rRNA from 1 species
UACGAAGGGGGCUAGCGUUGUUCGGAAUUACUGGGCGUAAAGGGCGCGUAGGCGGCGUGUCAAGUCAGGCGUGAAAGCCCCGGGCUCAACCUGGGAACCGCGCUUGAGACUGGCAUGCUCGAGUUCGGGAGAGGAUGGUGGAAUUCCCAGUGUAGAGGUGAAAUUCGUAGAUAUUGGGAAGAACACCGAUGGCGAAGGCAGCCAUCUGGACCGACACUGACGCUGAGGCGCGAAAGCGUGGGGAUCAAACAGG